rnacentral:lncRNA from 1 species
GUUGAAUGUGUAGUACUCCUUCGGAAUUGCUUUGUGCUGGCUUCGGAUUUUGCAUCGGUUAACCCCCAACUUGGUGAUGCUUUGGUGAACAGGGUAGCGGUGAUGAUUUGCAUAUGGUUUUUUUAUGCACUCCCCUCUACUUCUGAAGAUUUGUAAAUCAUAGAUUUUGAAUGAAUCUUUGUCAUCUAUGUCAUUUGCAGGCUAUCUCAUUUUGCAUUUGAGGGUUUCAUUACACCCAACUACUUUUGCACUUUUGCAAACUAUAGCUAUUUUUUGGAUAAUUCUGUACUAUAUGUCUCUUUGAUGUUUCUCAAUUUUUUAUAUAUCCGUGUGUUUCUCAAUUUCUGUUUUUAUGUCUACUUUUGUCUUUCCUUUUUUCCAAUUACUUGGCAAUAAUUUUGCAUAUCUGCAUUCAUCUUUUUCUUUGAUAGUUUUCCUCAUUUCACUUUUCUGGGGCUCCAUCACUUUGACUUAUUUUCUGUUUGAUUUUGUUAAAUUGUUGUCUGUUUUGGUUUCCCCUGCUGGUUGGUUGAAAUUUGG